AGUAAACGCUGGCGGUAGGCCUAACACAUGCCAGUCGAACGGCAGCACAGUAAGAGCUUGCUCUUACGGGUGGCGAGUGGCGGACGGGUGAGGAAUACAUCGUAAUCUACUUUUUCGUGGGGGAUAACGUAGGGAAACUUACUCUAAUACCGCAUACGCCCUACGGGUGAAAGCAGUGGAUCUUCGGACCUUGCGCGAUUGAAUGAGCCGAUGUCGGAUUAGCUAGUUGGCGGGGUAAAGGCCCACCAAGGCGACGAUCCGUAGCUGGUCUGAGAGGAUGAUCAGCCACACUGGAACUGAGACACGGUCCAGACUCCUACGGGAGGCAGCAGUGGGGAAUAUUGGACAAUGGGCGCAAGCCUGAUCCAGCCAUACCGCGUGGGUGAAGAAGGCCUUCGGGUUGUAAAGCCCUUUUGUUGGGAAAGAAAAGCAGCAGGUUAAUACCCCGCUGUUCUGACGGUACCCAAAGAAUAAGCACCGGCUAACUUCGUG
rnacentral:rRNA from 1 species